UACGGGGGGGCAAGCGUUGUUCGGAAUUACUGGGCGUAAAGCGUGCGCAGGCGGUGAUGUAAGACAGUUGUGAAAUCCCCGGGCUCAACCUGGGAACUGCAUCUGUGACUGCAUCGCUGGAGUGCGGCAGAGGGGGAUGGAAUUCCGCGUGUAGCAGUGAAAUGCGUAGAUAUGCGGAGGAACACCGAUGGCGAAGGCAAUCCCCUGGGCCUGCACUGACGCUCAUGCACGAAAGCGUGGGGAGCAAACAGG
rnacentral:rRNA from 1 species